GCUUUUUUAGUAUAUAUAAUAUAUUUGACUUCCAAUCAAAAGAACUUAAAUAAGAAAAAGCA
rnacentral:tRNA from 1 species